AAUGAACGCUGGCGGCAGGCCUAAAACAUGCAAGUCGAACGCCCUAGCAAUAGGGAGUGCCGCACGGGUGAGUAACAUGUGGGAAUAUGCCUUUUGGUACGGAACAACGUUUGGAAACGAACGCUAAUACCGUAUGGUCCCUCCGGGGUAAAGAUUUAUCGCCAAAAGAUUAGCCCGCACUAGAUUAGCUAGUUGGUAAGGUAAUGGCUUACCAAGGCGACGAUCUAUAGCUGUUCUGAGAGGAAGAUCAGCCACACUGGGACUGAGACACGGCCCAGACUCCUACGGGAGGCAGCAGUUAGGAAUAUUGGACAAUGGGCGCAAGCCUGAUCCAGCCAUGCCGCGUGAGUGAUGAAGGCCUUCGGGUUGUAAAGCUCUUUAGUCCACGAAUAUAAUGACUGUAGUGGAAGAAUAAGCCCCGGCUAACUUCGUGCCAGCCGCCGCAGUAACAC
rnacentral:rRNA from 1 species